CCCCCCUUUUUUUAAUUAAAAAGUAGCGUAGCAUAGAUUCUAUAGAAUCUUUCGUAAAAUAGGGUGAAUUGCAUAGACAUCUUAAUGUAAAAUAAGACAAUUUGCAGCGAAGCCUAUUAUGGUAUACUAUUCUUUUUUAGAAAUGUAUUAGAAAAUCAGCGGUUUCUACGAUUUUCAACAAAAAUAAAAAGAAUAAUUUGUAAUAGGAACGUUCAACGACUAAUCGGUGAGUAGUACUAACAAUAAUCCGAACACGAACGCCCUACUACUUUUACUAAUGUAAAGUAUAAGUAGAUGAAAUAGUCUAAACUUAUCUGUGAGGAUAAG
rnacentral:ncRNA from 1 species